CAGGUGGUGCAUGGCUGUCGUCAGCUCGUGUUGUGAGAAGUUGGGUUAAGUCCCGCAACGAGCGCAACCCUCGUUCUAUGUUGCCAGCAGGUAAUGGUGGGGACUCAUAGGAGACUGCCGGGGUCAAAUCGGAGGAAGGUGGGGAUGACGUCAAGUCAUCAUGCCCCUUAUGUCCAGGGCUUCCCCCAUGCUACAAUGGCCGGUACAAAGGGCUGCGAUACCGUAAGGGGGAGCGAAUCCCAAAAAACCGGUUUCAGUUCGGAUUGGGGUCUGCCACUUCACCCC
rnacentral:rRNA from 1 species